CGGGUACAACGAGUCGCAAGACCGCGAGGUUUAGCAAAUCUCUUAAAGCCGUUCUCAGUUCGGAUUGUAGGCUGCAACUCGCCUACAUGAAGUCGGAAUCGCUAGUAAUCGCGGAUCAGCAUGCCGCGGUGAAUACGUUCCCGGGCCUUGUACACACCGCCCGUCACACCAUGAGAGUUUGUAACACCCAAAGCCGGUGGGGUAACCUUUUGGAGCCAGCCGUCUAAGGUGGGACAGAUGAUUGGGGUGAAGUCGUAACAAGGUACC
rnacentral:rRNA from 1 species